rnacentral:rRNA from 1 species
ACCUCGGAUCAGGUAGGGAUACCCGCUGAACUUAAGCAUAUCAAUAAGCGGAGGAAAAGAAACCAACAGGGAUUGCCUCAGUAACGGCGAGUG